rnacentral:tRNA from 1 species
GCCGGGAUGGCAGAGUGGUUAUCGCGCGGGCCUUGAGAGCCCGUGGGCUCUUUAGCCCACAAGGGUUCAAAUCCCUUUCCCGGCGCCA